rnacentral:lncRNA from 1 species
UGAUGACCGAUAAUUAAGCUCCAAUGAAUUCCACCGUGCGAACAUUUCUCAGUAAUAAUUUGUUUGGUUCACAAUCCUCCCGAGUAAUUAUGAGGUUUACGGUGCUUCCACAUUACUCUUCUUCUCUGCUAAUCAAGGCUGGAAAGGAAAAAUGACACAUAGCCAGAGGCUCGAGUGUUUCCAUUACAUUUUCAAACACGGGUAACUUUCUGUUAAUUGGUAAUUAGUACCCCCAAGUCAAGUUUAUCCACCCAUAGCAGUGCUGUAAUUAUUGUAUUGACCAUAAGAGGAAUACUUUCAAUCUAUCUAGUGUAUUUUAGACUAACUUCUAUUUUCACAUGCUGUUUCAUUAUAUUUCUGAGUAUUUAGAACUUAAAAGAUCUAAUUUGUUAGAUCUAGUUUUUUUUUUUUUUUUUUUUUUUU